UACAGAGGUAUCAAGCGUUGUUCGGAUUCAUUGGGCGUAAAGGGUGUGUAGGUGGCGCCGUAAGUCGGGUGUGAAAUUUCGGAGCUUAACUCCGAAACUGCAUUCGAUACUGCGGUGCUUGAGGACUGGAGAGGAGACUGGAAUUCAUGGUGUAGCAGUGAAAUGCGUAGAGAUCAUGAGGAAGACCAGUGGCGAAGGCGGGUCUCUGGACAGUUCCUGACACUGAGACACGAAGGCCAGGGGAGCAAACGGG
rnacentral:rRNA from 1 species